CAAUAGCGUAUAUUAAAGUUGUUGCAGUUAAAAAGCUCGUAGUUGGAUUUCUGGUGGGAGCGAUCGGUCUGGCGCUUAGCGCGAGUACUUGCAUCGUCUCCGGCCAUCCUUGGGGAGAGUCUGUCUGGCAUUAGGUUGUCGGGCAGAGGAUCCUCAUCGUUUACUGUGAAAAAAUUAGAGUGUUCAAAGCAGGCUUAUGCCGUUGAAUAUAUUAGCAUGGAAUAAUAAGAUAGGACUUUGGUACUAUUUUGUUGGUUUGCGCACCAAAGUAAUGAUUAAUAGGGACAGUUGGGGGUAUUCGUAUUCCGUUGUCAGAGGUGAAAUUCUUGGAUUUACGGAAGACGAACUACUGCGAAAGUAUUUACCAAGGAUGUUUUCAUUAA
rnacentral:rRNA from 1 species